rnacentral:rRNA from 1 species
GACGAACGCUGGCGGCGUGCUUAACACAUGCAAGUCGAACGGAAAGGCCCUGCUUUUGUGGUGUUCUCGAGUGGCGAACGGGUGAGUAACACGUGAGUAACCUGCCCUUGACUUUGGGAUAACUUCAGGAAACUGGGCUAAUACCGGAUAGGAGCUCCUGCUGCAUGGUGGGGGUUGGAAAGUUUCGGCGGUUGGGGAUGGACUCGCGGCUUAUCAGCUUGUUGGUGGGGUAGUGGCUUACCAAGGCUUGGACGGGUAGCCGGCAUGGGAGGGUGACCGGCCACAUUGGGACUGAGAUACGGACCAGAGUCCUAUGGGAGGCAGGAGUGGGAAAUAUUGCACAGUGAGCGGGAGUCUGAUGCAGCAACGCCGCGUGCGGGAUGACGGCCUUCGGGUUGUAAACCGCUUUCGCCUGUGACGAAGCGUGAGUGACGGUAAUGGGUAAAGAAGCACCGGCUAACUACGUG